AAGAGCUUGGGGGACUGCUGCAUACUUGUUAAGCCAUUGACCUUUAAUUCACACUUGUCAUUUAAUAUAUUUCACGCCAGCCGGUGUCCCUGCGGCGCCUCUGGGACUGAUCUGUGAGUGUGUGUGUGCCACACAGCCCGAGCGGGAGCAGGUUGUAACACUUUGACAUGCAUCAUGGUGAGCCCGGCGUAGGUGUCGUAUUUGUAAUUUUACAGUGAUGAAGAAGAGGAGGAGGAGGAGGAGGAGUGGGAAGGGAGGGGGGGGGACGCCCCUGUGGUCUGCACUGUCAUUGCUGCUGCUGCUGCUGCUGCUGGUGGUGGUGGAUGAUGAUGAUGAUGAUGAUGGUGGUGGUGCGUGUGUAACCUCUAGGGACGGAUCAGUGGCUCAGUGGGCAGCCACUGUCACCACACAGGCUCGUGGGUGUGACAACAAGAGGGACAAUAGCAACAGGGCUGUCCUUCAGCCGCAUUGGGAGCACAGGGGUGUCAUCACACACACUCACACACACACACAUGCCUGGAUUACCUCAAUCAGAGCGCGGGUUGAUGCUCAGUAGAAUUGCCUAGUCAACAGAGGGUGCUGCUGUGAAUAGGUUUAAUUAAGGUAAACAUGGAGCGCAGCCCGUUUUUUGGGGGGGCUCCAUCCCACCUAUGGCAUCGGCCUCAGACCGGUGCUCCUCUCCUCUCCUCUCCCAGCAGGGUUAGAUCGAAUCAGACACAGUGACAACAAUAACAGCCCUGCAGAACCCCCGUCCUCUGCCUCUCAAUACUCAAAUGUCUUUGAUUUCCAGGCGCGGUGGUUCUAAUGGGCUUUCAAGACAAUAAAGAAAGCGUGUUUUUUUUUUUCUUAAAUUCCUGCCCUGUCCAAAGCCCUUUGUUCGGAAACAGAUGCAGAAGCUAUUAGACGUUAUAAAUGGGACGUACCUUCCACAGCCAGCACCGCAGGGACAACGAGGCUGCACACCCACAGCAGGCUUGGGUCAACCUCCUCCACUGAGACCAGUGACGGGCAGCUCCCUGCCACCUCCCUGCCACCGGAGCAAAAAAAAAAGUCUACGAAACAUGGCCGUCAUUACAGACCUGAGGUGUGACAGUGCAGAACUGGGCUGCUGCUGAUACUGCUGCUCAGCUUUAAAAAAAA